rnacentral:lncRNA from 1 species
UCUUAGUAUCGGUUCAACCUUUGACCCUCUACCCCUCAUCCUAAUUCCCUUUGACCUUGAUUUGACCCCAGCCUUAUGCUGAUUCUUGACCUUGACUCCCUUUUCUUCCCCCUCUCCAGCCUAACCCUGAUAAUCUCAGCUUCAUCUCAACCUUUGACCCUCAGCUUCCUUACCUUGACCCAUGUUGACCCUAACUGAACCCAACCUCUCCUUGACCCAUGACAUCAAUGCUGGCCUUGUCCUGACCCCUGGUUUUGAUUCCUCAUCCUGACAUCUUAUGCUGACCUGUCCCCAGGCCCACCCUGGCUCCUGACUCCAAUCUUAGUCUCAUCU